UACAUCUUCUAGAGACGAGAGCC
rnacentral:siRNA from 1 species